CUGCUACAGCAACUUCACCCACAGCUACCAUGACUCUGAUCCCCGUCUUCAUCUGGACACUGAUCCUCUGGACUCAAGAAUGCAGAGGUCAAGCCACAGUCACUCAGACUCCUGCAGUGAAAUCUGCUCUUCCAGGAGAAACAGUCACCAUCAACUGUAGAACCAGUCAGGCAGUGUACACAGACUCAAAUGGCCACAACUUAUACUGGUAUCAGCAGAAACCUGGAGAAGCUCCUAAACUCCUGAUUAAAUUUGCAAAUCAGCGAGUGUCAGGUUUUCCAGCUCGUUUCAGUGGCAGUGGAUCUGGAUCUGAUUUCACUCUGACCAUCAGUGGAGUCCAGACUGAAGAUGCAGGAGAUUAUUAUUGUCAGAGCCGGCAUGAUAUCUCUGGCUACUGGUUCACACAGUGUUAUAGAGUCAGGAGAGGAACCACACCACACUAA